rnacentral:rRNA from 1 species
UAAUAAGUCAGUGGUGAAAGCCCAUCGCUCAACGAUGGAACGGCCAUUGAUACUGUUAGACUUGAAUUAUUAGGAAGUAACUAGAAUAUGUAGUGUAGCGGUGAAAUGCUUAGAUAUUACAUGGAAUACCAAUUGCGAAGGCAGGUUACUACAUAAUGGAUUGACGCGUGAUGGACGAAAGCGUGGGGAGCGAACAGGAUUAGAUACCCUGGUAGUCCACGCCGUAAACGAUGGAUACUAGCUGUUGGAAGCAAUUUCAGUGGCUAAGCGAAAGUGAUAGGUAUCCCACCUGGGGAGUACGUACGCAAGAAUGAAACUCAGAGGAAUUGACGGGGGCCCGCACAAGCGGUGGAGCAUGUGGUUCAAUUCGAUGAUACGCGAGGAACCUUACCAAGGCUUAAAUGUAGUUUGACCGCUUUGGAAACAGAUCUUUCGCAAGACAAAUUACAAGGUGCUGCAUGGUUGUCGUCAGCUCGUGCCGUGAGGUGUCAGGUUAAGUCCUAUAACGAGCGCAACCCCUGUUGUUAGUUGCCAGCGAGUCAUGUCGGGAACUCUAACAAGACUGCCAGUGUAAACUGUGAGGAAGGCGGGGAUGACGUCAAAUCAUCACGGCCCUUACGCCUUGGGCUACACACGUGCUACAAUGGACGGUACAGAGAGCAGCCACCUCGCAAGGGGGAGCGAAUCUAUAAAACCGUUCUCAGUUCGGAUCGGAGUCUGCAACUCGACUCCGUGAAGCUGGAAU